rnacentral:rRNA from 1 species
CACGGGGGGAGCAAGCGUUGUCCGGAUUUAUUGGGCGUAAAGCGCUCGCAGGCGGUCCGAUGCGUCGUGCGUGAAAGACCCCGGCUCAACUGGGGGAGGUCGUGCGAUACGGUCGGACUCGAGGCCAGUAGGGGGAUGCGGAAUUCCGGGUGUAGUGGUGGAAUGCGUAGAGAUCGGGAGGAACACCAGUGGCGAAGGCGGUGGCCUGGACCGAUGCUGACGCUGAGGCGCGAAAGCGUGGGGAGCGAUCCGG